rnacentral:sRNA from 1 species
GGCUUCAACAACCCCGUAGGUCGGGUCCGCAAAGACAGUGGAUCUACUGGAGCC